GCAGAUAUGGCCGAGCGGUCCAAGGCGCCACGUUCAGGUCGUGGUCUCGAAAGAGGCGAGAGUUCGAAUCUCUCUGUCUGCA